rnacentral:lncRNA from 1 species
UAUUAUUGUUACAGUCCUACAGUUACAGUGCUACUAUUAUGGUUAUAUUUAUGGUAUUUGUAAUGUAAUUUGUGUUGCAGUAUUACAGUUACAGUGAUAGUGGUUUAAUUAUUUCUGUAUAUGAUGGUUAUACAGUUGUAUUACACUUAGAGUCAUUUUUCUAGAUUCAUAGUUCUAGUUACAUAUUUGUAUUAUAAUUACAGAUGUUUUGUUAUAAUUAUAAAAUUUAUUUACAGUUUUAGUGUUCUAGUUAUCAUUACAGAUUUAUUGUUCUUGUGGUAUAGUAUAUCGUGGUAUAGUAUAUUUAUCAGUAUGGUUUUAUAGUUAUAGUGUUAUAGUCUUAUACUUUAUUGAUAAUGAUCUUAUUUCUUUCAUUAUAGGUUACUUGAUUUUUACCUAGGAGCAUAAUUACAUUUUUUUCUUUCCUUAGUGCAGGGUAAUUUCAGUAGAAUAUUCCAUAGUGUAGGUAAUUCUAUGCUUGUAUUUUCUCAAGUGUGUGGUGUGCUCUUUCAAUAUGUCUAUUUUUAGUUCUUUGAGAAAUCUCCAUAAUGUUUUCCAAAGAGGUUGUACUAAUUUUCACUCCCACCCGCAGUGUAUAUGCAUUCCCUUUUCACCACAUACACACAAACAUAAUAAUAACAUUAUUAUUAUUAUUGUUAUUUUACAUUUUAGUAAUGGCCAUUCUGGCUGGGGUAAGGCAGUCUCUCAUUGAGGUUUUAAUUUACAUUUAGCUGAUAAUUAGUGAUGUGAGAUUUUUUCAAAUUUUGAUGACUUGUCUAUCUUCAUUUGAGAAAUGUCUAUUCUUGUUAUUUGCCCAUUUUUUGAUGGAAUUGUUUGCUUUUUUCCUUGCUGGUUUUUUAGUUCCUUGUAGAGUCUGAAUGUUAGUCCUUUGUUAGAUGAAUAGUGAGCAAAUAUUGUCUACCAUUUAGUGGCUUGUCUGUUUACUCUGAUGAAUAUUUAUUUUGCAGUGUGUAAGAUUUUUAGUUUAAUUAUGUCCUAUUUGUUUAUUUUCAUUUUUAUUGCACUUGCUUUUGGGGUCUUAGUGAUAAGUCUAUCACCUAGGAUAAUGGUCCAAGAGUUUUAUCUAAGUUUUCUUCUGAAUUGUUAUGGUUUCAGGUCUUAGAUGUAAUCUUUAAUACAUCUUGAGUUGAUUUUUAUAUAUAGUGAGACAGAGGAAUCAAUUUUGAUUUUUGUACAUAUUGGCUAUUCAGUUUACCCAGCACCAUUUAUUGAAUAGCAUGUCACUUCCUCAAUUUAUGUUUUUGUAUGCUUUGCCAAAGGUAAGUUGAUUGUAAGUGUUUGGUUUUAUUUCUGAAUUCUAUAUUCUGUUAUAUUGGUCUAUGUAUAUACCUUUAUACCAGUACCAUGCUGUUUUGAUUAUUA